GGCGCACGGGUGAGUAACACGUAUGCAACCUACCUUUAACAGGAGAAUAGCCCUGAGAAAUCGGGAUUAAUACUCCGUAAACAAAAAGCGAUGGCAUCAUCACUUUUUGAAAAGCUGAGGGCGGUUAAAGAUGGGCAUGCGCAACAUUAGUUAGUUGGCGAGGUAACGGCUCACCAAGACUACGAUGUUUAGGGGUUCUGAGAGGAUUACCCCCCACACUGGUACUGAGACACGGACCAGACUCCUACGGGAGGCAGCAGUGAGGAAUAUUGGGCAAUGGGUGCAACCCUGACCCAGCCAUGCCGCGUGCAGGAUGACUGCCCUAUGGGUUGUAAACUGCUUUUAUAAGGGAAGAAACCUGGAUACGUGUAUCCAGCUGACGGUACCUUAUGAAUAAGCCUCGGCUAACUCCGUGCCAGCAGCCGCGGUAAUACGGAGGAUGCAAGCGUUAUCCGGAUUCAUUGGGUCUAAAGGGUGCGUAGGCGGAAUAAUAAGUCAGUGGUGAAAUCCUACAGCUUAACUGUAGAACUGCCAUUGAUACUGUUGUUCUUGAGUGCAGUUGAAGUGGAUGGAAUGUGUCAUGUAGCGGUGAAAUGCUUAGAUAUGACACAGAACGCCGAUAGCGAAGGCGGUUCACUAAACUGUAACUGACGCUGAGGCGCGAAAGCGUGGGGAUGAAACAGGAUUAGAUACCCUGGGAGUCCACGC
rnacentral:rRNA from 1 species